rnacentral:rRNA from 1 species
UACGUAGGGUCCGAGCGUUGUCCGGGAUUAUUGGGCGUAAAGGGCUCGUAGGCGGUUCGUCACGUCGGGAGUGAAAACUCGGAGCUUAACUCCGAGCCUGCUUCCGAUACGGGCAGACUAGAGGUAGGCAGGGGAGAGCGGAACUCCUGGUGUAGCGGUGGAAUGCGCAGAUAUCAGGAAGAACACCGGUGGCGAAGGCGGCUCUCUGGGCCUUACCUGACGCUGAGGCACGAAAGCGUGGGAGCAAACAGG